GCAGAUCUUAGGAGCAUGAUCUAUAAUGUUGCUCCUGAAAAUAGACGUGAGAUGAGAGACCUUGUCUCAAGUGUUAUUGAUGGGAUGCUUCUUCCACGGCUUUCGGAGAUGACAAAGAUUGACAUGACGGUAACAGCAACUCGGGACGAUUUGUCACUGUUGUCAACGACUUCUCGGGCAGAAAAGCGGACGGACUUCGCAGAUUCGCUCCCAAAGCGAGCAAAAAAAAGCGAAAAAAGUUUCCCGAAAGGAAACUAAAUUAUGGUUUCAGAUCAGACUCUGAUUUCGAGAAUGAUGUAUGAUUUUGUCGAAUUUUAUGAAUUUAAAUCUGAUUUUUGUUUUAUUUUAUUGCAUCAUUUAUUGCUUUAUUAAUUUUUUCUUUUUUACAAAACAAGUUGUUUUCAUUUUAAUACAGUAUAAUGAAUGAAACCAUCUCCUCUUGAUUCCCUGUUCUACGUAACACUUAUUAUGAGUCUCCGAUCGCUUAAAAGAGAAAAAAUGUAUCUGUUCAUUGUUCAAGUAGGUCAUUAAAAUGGAUUAGUUGCUUACCCAAAUAUUAUAUUCAGAAAAACAGCAAGCGAGCAU